AUUGAACGCUGGCGGAAUGCUUUACACAUGCAAGUCGAACGGCAGCACGGACUUCGGUCUGGUGGCGAGUGGCGAACGGGUGAGUAAUGUAUCGGAACGUGCCCAGUCGUGGGGGAUAACGUAGUGAAAAUUACGCUAAUACCGCAUACGAUCUAUGGAUGAAAGCGGGGGAUCGCAAGACCUCGCGCGAUUGGAGCGGCCGAUAGCAGAUUAGGUAGUUGGUGGGGUAAAGGCCCACCAAGCCAACGAUCUGUAGCUGGUCUGAGAGGACGACCAGCCAGACCGGAAGUGAGACACGGUCCAGACUCCUACGGGAGGCAGCAGUGGGGAAUUGUGGACAAUGGGCGAAAGCCUGAUCCAGCCAUUCCGCGUGCAGGAUGAAGGCCCUCGGGUUGUAAACUGCUUUUGUACAGAACGAAAAGGUUUCUACUAAUACUAGGAGCUCAUGACGGUACUGUAAGAAUAAGCACCGGCUAACUACGUGCCAGCAGCCGCGGUAA
rnacentral:rRNA from 1 species